CUACACAAUGUCAUACAAUGGCUGGUACAGAGGGUUGCCAACCCGCGAGGGGGAGCUAAAUCCCAUAAAGCCAGUCGUAGUCCGGAUCGCAGUCUGCAACUCGACUGCGUGAAGUCGGAAUCGCUAGUAAUCGCGGAUCAGAAUGUCGCGGUGAAUACGUUCCCGGGUCUUGUACACACCGCCCGUCACACCAUGGGAGCGGGUUCUGCCAGAAGUAGGUAGCCUAACCGUAAGGAGGGCGCUUACCACGGCAGGGUUCGUGACUGGGGUGAAGUCGUAACAAGGUAACCGUAA
rnacentral:rRNA from 1 species